AUGCGUUCCCCUCCUCUAUCCCUGACAGACAUCCUUCCACAGCAGCUGCGCACCUCCUUCCUCUUCUCCGGCAGCGCGCGCCUCCUCCCUCUCCUCCAGUCGCGCGCGCCUCCUUCUUCUCCUCCGGUCGCGCGCCGCCUACCUCUCCUCCGGUCGCGUGCCCCUCCUGCACUCUCGCCGAGCCUCUUCACGUCUACAGAAAAAAGGUCCCUCCCUCUUUUCACGCAAUCCCUAAAUCCUUGCUGAAGCUCAAAUCGUCGUCGCACUGCUGGAAGCUCUCAACUCAGGAACAACGGUUCACUGCUGAAGCCCACCGCUAUCGCUGCCGCCGUCGC